GGGAUAACUUCAGGAAACUGGGGCUAAUACCGGAUAGGAGCUCCUGCUGCAUGGUGGGGGUUGGAAAGUUUCGGCGGUUGGGGAUGGACUCGCGGCUUAUCAGCUUGUUGGUGGGGUAGUGGCUUACCAAGGCUUUGACGGGUAGCCGGCCUGAGAGGGUGACCGGCCACAUUGGGACUGAGAUACGGCCCAG
rnacentral:rRNA from 1 species